AUACGAAGGGGGCUAGCGUUGUUCGGAAUUACUGGGCGUAAAGCGCGUGUAGGCGGAUCGUUAAGUCAGGGGUGAAAGCCCGGGGCUCAACCCCGGAACUGCCCUUGAUACUGGCGAUCUAGAGUCCGGAAGAGGUGGGCGGAAUUCCCGGUGUAGAGGUGAAAUUCGUAGAUAUCGGGAGGAACACCAGUGGCGAAGGCGGCUCACUGGUCCGGUACUGACGCUGAGACGCGAAAGCGUGGGGAGCAAACAGGAUUAGAUACCCUAGUAGUCC
rnacentral:rRNA from 1 species